UGAAUACGAGACGCUAAGGCGUCGAAGUAGUGUAUGUCAUACUUCCAAGAAAAGCUUGCACUGUCAUAAAUAGAAAAUGCCUGUACCAUAACCGACACAGGUGGGUAGGUAGAGUAUACUAAGGGGCGCGAGAUAACUCUCUCUAAGGAACUCGGCAAAAUAACUCCGUAACUUCGGGAGAAGGAGUGCCUUAUUCUUAAGGUUGCAAUAACAAGAUCCAAGCAACUGUUUAUCAAAAACACAGGUCUCCGCUAAGUCGCAAGACGAUGUAUGGGGGCUGACGCCUGCCCAGUGCCAGAAGGUUAAAGAAGUUGGUUAGCUUUUGCGAAGCUGAUAACUGAAGCCCUGGUGAACGGCGGCCGUAACAAUAACGGUCCUAAGGUAGCGAAAUUCCUUGUCGGGUAAGUUCCGACCCGCACGGAAGGCGUAAUGAUUUGGAUACUGUCUCGGAGAGGGGCUCGGUGAAAUAGACUUGUCUGUGAAGAUGCGGACUACCUGCACCAGGACAGAAAGACCCUAUGAAGCUUUACUGUAACUUGAAAUUGAAAUUGGACUUUAUUCGCGCAGUAUAGGUGGGAGGCGUUGAUUGUAAUCUUGCGGGAUUAUUGGAGCCAUCAGUGAGAUACCACUCUUGUAAUGUUAGAUUUCUAACUUUGUAUCAUUAUCUGGUCAAAGAACAGUUUCAGGCGGGCAGUUUGACUGGGGCGGUCGCCUCCUAAACGGUAACGGAGGCGUACAAGGGUUUCCUCUGAACGGUUAGAAAUCGUAUCUAGAGUGUAAAGGCAUAAGGAAGCUUGACUGUGAGACCUACAAGUCGAGCAGGGACGAGAGUCGGUCUUAGUGAUCUGACGGUACUGAGUGGAAAGGCCGUCACUCAACGGAUAAAAGUUACUCUAAGGAUAACAGGCUGAUCUCCCCCAAGAGUUCACAUCGACGGGGAGGUUUGGCACCUCGAUGUCGGCUCAUCGCAUCCUGGGGCGGUAGUACGUCCCAAGGGUUGGGCUGUUCGCCCAUGAAAGCGGUACGCGAGCUGGGUUCAGAACGUCGUGAGACAGUUCGGUCCAUAUCCGGUGUAGGCGUUAGAAUAUUGAGAGGAGCCUUCUUUAGUACGAGAGGACCGAGAAGGACAUACCUCUGGUGUACCAGUUAUCGUGCCAACGGUAAACGCUGGGUAGCUAUGUAUGGAGUGGAUAACCGCUGAAAGCAUCUAAGUGGGAAGCCCACCUCAUGAUAAG
rnacentral:rRNA from 1 species